GACGAACGCUGGCGGCGUGCUUAACACAUGCAAGUCGAACGAAGUGGCGAACGGGUGAGUAACGCGUAAUCAACCUGCCCUUCAGAGGGGGACAACAGUUGGAAACGACUGCUAAUACCGCAUACUGAAGGAGGAGAUUGCGUCUGCUUAGCUAGUUGGGGGGGUAACGGCCCACCAAGGCGAUGAUCAGUAACCGGUCCUGGAGGAGUGACCGCCCCCUGUGGACUGGGACCCGGCCCAGGCUCCUACGGGAGGCAGCAGUGGGGAAUCUUCCGCAAUGGACGAAAGGCUGACGGAGCAACGCCGCGUGAGUGAUGGCGGCCUUCGGGUUGUAAAGCUCUGUUAAUCGGGACGCGGUACCGGAAUAGAAAGCCACGGCUAACUACGUGCCAGCCGCCGCGGUAAUAC
rnacentral:rRNA from 1 species